UUGAAACACCGGUUCUCAUACAAUCACUAAAGUUAAGCAAUGCCGAGCCUGAUUGAUACCUAGAAGGGUAACUGUUUGGGAAUACCAGGUGCUGUAA